rnacentral:rRNA from 1 species
CCAAGUCGUGAGGCGGAGCUAAUCCCUUAAAGCCAUUCUCAGUUCGGAUUGUAGGCUGAAACUCGCCUACAUGAAGCCGGAAUUGCUAGUAAUGGCAGGUCAGCAUACUGCCGUGAAUACGUUCCCGGGCCUUGUACACACCGCCCGUCACACCAUGAGAGUCGGUAACACCCGAAGUCGGUAGCCUAACCGUAAGGAGGGCGCCGCCGAAGGUGGGAUUGAUGACUGGGGUGAAGUCGUAACAAGGUACC